UACGUAGGGUGCAGGCGUUGUCCGGAAUUAUUGGGCGUAAAGAGCUCGUAGGCGGUUCGUCGCGUCGGCUGUGAAAUCCCGAGGCUCAACCUCGGGUCUGCAGUCGAUACGGGCGGACUGGAGUUCGGCAGGGGAGACUGGAAUUCCUGGUGUAGCGGUGAAAUGCGCAGAUAUCAGGAGGAACACCGGUGGCGAAGGCGGGUCUCUGGGCCGAUACUGACGCUGAGGAGCGAAAGCGUGGGGAGCGAACAGG
rnacentral:rRNA from 1 species